GAUGAACGCUGGCGGCGUGCUUAACACAUGCAAGUCGAACGAAGCAUUUAAGACAGAUUACUUCGGUUUGAAGUCUUUUAUGACUAAGUGGCGGACGGGUGAGUAACGCGUGGGUAACCUGCCUCAUACAGGGGGAUAGCAGCUGGAAACGGCUGGUAAUACCGCAUAAGCGCACAGUACCACAUGGUACAGUGUGAAAAACUCCGGUGGUAUGAGAUGGACCCGCGUCUGAUUAGCUUGUUGGCGGGGUAACGGCCCACCAAGGCGACGAUCAGUAGCCGACCUGAGAGGGUGACCGGCCACAUUGGGACUGAGACACGGCCCAGACUCCUACGGGAGGCAGCAGUGGGGAAUAUUGCACAAUGGAGGAAACUCUGAUGCAGCGACGCCGCGUGAGUGAAGAAGUAGUUCGCUAUGUAAAGCUCUAUCAGCAGGGAAGAUAGUGACGGUACCUGACUAAGAAGCUCCGGCUAAAUACGUG
rnacentral:rRNA from 1 species